UCGUGGGGGGAUAACGUGGCGAAAGCUACGCUUAAUACCGCAUACGAUCUACGGAUGAAAGCGGGGGAUCGCAAGACCUCGCGCGAUUGGAGCGGCCGAUAUCAGAUUAGGUAGUUGGUGAGGUAAAGGCUCACCCAAGCCGACGAUCUGUAGCUGGGUCUGAGAGGACGACCAGCCACACUGGGACUGAGACACGGCCCAGACUCCUACGGGAGGCAGCAGUGGGGAAUUUUGGACAAUGGGCGCAAGCCUGAUCCAGCAAUGCCGCGUGCAGGAUGAAGGCCUUCGGGUUGUAAACUGCUUUUGUACGGAACGAAACGGUGAGCUCUAAUACAGUUUGCUAAUGACGGUACCGUAAGAAUAAGCACCGGCUAACUACGUG
rnacentral:rRNA from 1 species